rnacentral:rRNA from 1 species
UACGUAGGGUGCGAGCGUUAAUCGGAAUUACUGGGCGUAAAGCGUGCGCAGGCGGUUUUGUAAGCCAGAUGUGAAAUCCCCGGGCUUAACCUGGGAAUGGCAUUUGGGACUGCAAGGCUCGAGUGCGGCAGAGGAGACUGGAAUUCCUGGUGUAGCAGUGAAAUGCGUAGAUAUCAGGAGGAACACCGGUGGCGAAAGCGGCUUCCUGGCCCGACACUGACGCUCAUGUACGAAAGCGUGGGGAGCAAACAGG